rnacentral:rRNA from 1 species
GACGAACGCUGGCGGCGUGCUUAACACAUGCAAGUCGAGCGGUAAGGCCCUUUCGGGGGUACACGAGCGGCGAACGGGUGAGUAACACGUGGGUGACCUGCCCUCCACUCUGGGAUAAGCCCGGGAAACUGGGUCUAAUACCGGAUAGGACCACUGAUCGCAUGGUUGGUGGUGGAAAGUUUUUUCGGUGGGGGAUGGGCCCGCGGCCUAUCAGCUUGUUGGUGGGGUGAUGGCCUACCAAGGCGGUGACGGGUAGCCGGCCUGAGAGGGCGACCGGCCACACUGGGACUGAGACACGGCCCAGACUCCUACGGGAGGCAGCAGUGGGGAAUAUUGCGCAAUGGGCGGAAGCCUGACGCAGCGACGCCGCGUGGGGGAUGACGGCCUUCGGGUUGUAAACCUCUUUCGCCAGGGACGAAGAGCAAUUGACGGUACCUGGAGAAGAAGCACCGGCCAACUACGUGCCAGCCGCCGCCGUAACAC